UACGUAGGGUGCAAGCGUUAAUCGGAAUUACUGGGCGUAAAGCGUGCGCAGGCGGUUCUAUAAGACAGAUGUGAAAUCCCCGGGCUCAACCUGGGGACUGCAUUUGUGACUGUAGAGCUGGAGUACGGCAGAGGGGGAUGGAAUUCCGCGUGUAGCAGUGAAAUGCGUAGAUAUGCGGAGGAACACCGAUGGCGAAGGCAAUCCCCUGGGCCUGUACUGACGCUCAUGCACGAAAGCGUGGGGAGCAAACAGG
rnacentral:rRNA from 1 species